rnacentral:tRNA from 1 species
GCCUUGGUGGCUCAGUGGUUAAGUGCUCAGCUGCUAACUGAAAGGUCAGUGGUUUGAACCCACUCUUCGGGA